CCGGAGGUGGCAGAGUGGUCAAUUGCUCUAGACUGUAAAUCUAGCGGGGUAACCCUACGAAGGUUCGAACCCUUCCCUCCGGA
rfam:Candidatus Daviesbacteria bacterium RIFCSPLOWO2_02_FTLL_36_8 rifcsplowo2_02_scaffold_32678, whole genome shotgun sequence.